rnacentral:snoRNA from 1 species
GAGGGUGUGGAAGGCGACAGCUCUGCUGUUGAGGCUUCAUGAUUGCCCAGUCUCAAAGUAAAUGCCCUUGCGAUUUCCAA